CAAACUAAGUCGACAAAUUAAUACCGUUUGGCGUCGGCUUACAAAAUUAAUUUGGCUUGGUGGUAAUGACGUCGGAAAUGGUAGGCUAUCAAACAAAAUAGAAAUGGUUAAGUGUGGCUAUAUAGAUAUGGUCCUUCGGGCAACAAGCAAUGCUUUUACAAACCCAAAACGAAUUUCAAUCACUUUUUUUUUUUCAAUUUUGAUUUUUUUUUCUUCUUUUUUUGUUUUAAUUCCGAAUUUUUUUUUCUUCUUUUUUUUUUCUUCAAUACUAAAUACAAAAAGUACAAAUAAAUUGAAUACAAACUUUUUUUUUUGAAUUUUUUUUUUUUCAAAUUUUUUUUUUUUUCGAAUUUUUUUUUUAUAUAUUUUUUUUUACAAUACCGUAAUACCGAUAACGUCGAUCUUACUCCGAUUUAGCUAGCUCUGAUACCAAAUGAUACGCCCCGGCCCAGGAAGGAGAGUCGAGUCGUAGAUGUGCCCGAUCGUGAAUUGGAGUAAUUUGAAAGCUUUACAAAAUAGGCUAGAAGAAAAGGAAUUAUUUAGGCUCAAUAAAGUUUUGUUGGUUUAGGAAAUGAAACAUAAAUCAAUGGAUGAAGUUUGGGCUAAGUAUUCAAAAGCCGAACUAACACAAUAGGAGUGUGUUAACCCGUAACUUAGGAGAAUGCUUAGGUUGGUAGGUGUUGAUGGAAGGUUUGUUAAGUGGAUAGAAACUUCGACCCGCUAUCAAAAAUGAUAGGAACCUCAGUACGAAUCGAACGCCACACUUUUGGGAUUAAAGUGAUAAGUUCGGAUAGAAAGACGGGUUGACGCCAC
rnacentral:lncRNA from 1 species